rnacentral:tRNA from 1 species
AGAACAUGGUGUAAUGGUAGCACGAAGAAUUUUGAGUUCUUAUGAUUAGGUUCAAGUCCUGUUGUUCUAG